rnacentral:rRNA from 1 species
GUUAUAUGGUCAAGCGAAUAAGCGCACACGGUGGAUGCCUUGGCGGUCAGAGGCGAUGAAGGACGUGGCAGCCUGCGAAAAGUAUCGGGGAGCUGGCAACAAGCUUUGAUCCGGUAAUGUCCGAAUGGGGAAACCCACCCGCUUGCGGGUAUCCUGCAGUGAAUACAUAGCUGCUGGAAGCGAACCUGGUGAACUGAAAUAUCUAAGUAACCAGAGGAAAAGAAAUCAACCGAGAUUCCGUAAGUAGCGACGAGCGAACGCGGACUAGCCCUUAAGCUGAUUUGGUUCUAGGAAAACGCUCUGGAAAGAGCGGCCAUAGAAGGUGAUAGCCCUGUAUCUGAAAGGGCCAUUUCAGUGAAGACGAGUAGGGCGGGGCACGUGAAACCCUGUCUGAACAUGGGGGGACCAUCCUCCAAGGCUAAAUACUACUGACCGACCGAUAGUGAACCAGUACCGUGAGGGAAAGGCGAAAAGAACCCCGGAGAGGGGAGUGAAAUAGAACCUGAAACCGUGUGCGUACAAGCAGUAGGAGCUCCGCAAGGAGUGACUGCGUACCUUUUGUAUAAUGGGUCAGCGACUUACUGUUCGUGGCAAGCUUAACCGUAUAGGGGAGGCGAAGGGAAACCGAGUCUGAUAAGGGCGCAUAGUCGCGGGCAGUAGACCCGAAACCGGGUGAUCUAGUCAUGCCCAGGGUGAAGGUGCGGUAACACGCACUGGAGGCCCGAACCCACUCCCGUUGCAAAGGUAGGGGAUGAGGUGUGAUUAGGAGUGAAAAGCUAAUCGAACCCGGAGAUAGCUGGUUCUCCUCGAAAGCUAUUUAGGUAGCGCCUCAUAUGUAUCCUCUCGGGGGUAGAGCACUGUUAUGGCUAGGGGGUCAUCGCGACUUACCAAACCAUUGCAAACUCCGAAUACCGAGACGGACUGUAUGGGAGACACACGGCGGGUGCUAACGUCCGUCGUGAAAAGGGAAACAACCCAGACCCACAGCUAAGGUCCCAAAUUCACUGCUAAGUGGAAAACCAUGUGGAAAGGCACAGACAGCCAGGAGGUUGGCUUAGAAGCAGCCACCCUUUAAAGAAAGCGUAAUAGCUCACUGGUCGAGUCGGUCUGCGGGGAAGAUUUAACGGGGCUAAGCAGUGAACCGAAGCUUGGGGUGCAUACUUUGUAUGCGCGGUAGAGGAGCGUUCCGUAAGCCGUUGAAGGUGGAUUGAGAAGUCUGCUGGAGGUAUCGGAAGUGCGAAUGCUGACAUGAGUAACGAUAAUGCGGGUGAAAAACCCGCACGCCGAAAGCCCAAGGUUUCCUUGCGCAACGUUAAUCGGCGCAGGGUGAGUCGGCCCCUAAGGCGAGGACGAAAGUCGUAGUCGAUGGGAAGCAGGUUAAUAUUCCUGCACCUCGCGUAAGUGCGAUGGAGGGACGGAGAAGGUUAGGUGUACCRGGCGUUGGUUGUCCYGGGGAAAGGCGGUAGGUUUGGAUCUUUGGCAAAUCCGGGAUCCUUUAAGACCGAGCACCGAGACGAGCCUUUAUGGCRAAGUYACUGAUACCACGCUUCCAGGAAAAGCUCCUAAGCUUCAGCUUACGCAGACCGUACCGUAAACCGACACAGGUGGGUAGGAUGAGAAUUCUCAGGCGCUUGAGAGAACUCGGGUGAAGGAACUAGGCAACAUGGCACCGUAACUUCGGGAGAAGGUGCACCCUUUUUGGUGGCUCGUGCGAGCUAUAGCUGAAGAGGGUCGCAGUAACCAGGCCGCUGCGACUGUUUAUCAAAAACACAGCACUCUGCAAACACGAAAGUGGACGUAUAGGGUGUGACGCCUGCCCGGUGCUGGAAGGUUAAUUGAUGGGGUCAGCCGCAAGGCGAAGCUCUUGAUCGAAGCCCCAGUAAACGGCGGCCGUAACUAUAACGGUCCUAAGGUAGCGAAAUUCCUUGUCGGGUAAGUUCCGACCUGCACGAAUGGCGUAACGACAGCGGCGCUGUCUCCACCCGAGACUCAGUGAAAUUGAAAUCGCUGUGAAGAUGCAGCGUUCCCGUGGCAAGACGGAAAGACCCCGUGAACCUUUACUAUAGCUUUACACUGAACGUUGAGUUCGUCUGUGUAGGAUAGGUGGGAGGCUAUGAAACUGUGGCGCUAGCUGCAGUGGAGCCAUCCUUGAAAUACCACCCUGUCGUGCUUGACGUUCUAACCUGGGCCCAUUAUCUGGGUCGGGGACCGUGUAUGGUGGGUAGUUUGACUGGGGCGGUCUCCUCCUAAAGAGUAACGGAGGAGCUCGAAGGUACGCUCAGCGCGGUCGGACAUCGCGCACUGUGUGCAAAGGCAUAAGCGUGCUUGACUGCAAGAUCGACGGAUCAAGCAGGUAGGAAACUAGGACUUAGUGAUCCGGUGGUUCUGUAUGGAAGGGCCAUCGCUCAACGGAUAAAAGGUACUCCGGGGAUAACAGGCUGAUACCGCCCAAGAGUUCAUAUCGACGGCGGUGUUUGGCACCUCGAUGUCGGCUCAUCACAUCCUGGGGCUGUAGUCGGUCCCAAGGGUAUGGCUGUUCGCCAUUUAAAGUGGUACGCGAGCUGGGUUCAGAACGUCGUGAGACAGUUCGGUCCCUAUCUGCCAUGGGCGUUGGAGAUUUGAGAGGGGCUGCUCCUAGUACGAGAGGACCGGAGUGGACGAACCUCUGGUGUUCCGGUUGUCACGCCAGUGGCAUUGCCGGGUAGCUAUGUUCGGAAGCGAUAACCGCUGAAAGCAUCUAAGCGGGAAGCGCGCCUCAAGAUGAGAUCUCCCGGGGCACAAGCCCCCUGAAGGAACCAUGUAGACUACGUGGUUGAUAGGUCAGGUGUGUAAGUACAGCAAUGUAUUGAGCUAACUGAUACUAAUGAUCCGAGAGGCUUGACCAUAUAACCU